CCUACGGGAGGCAGCAGUGAGGAAUAUUGGUCAAUGGACGAGAGUCUGAACCAGCCAAGUAGCGUGCAGGAAGACGGCUCUAUGAGUUGUAAACUGCUUUUGUACAAGGGUAAACCUGAAUACGUGUAUUCAGCUGAACGUACUGUACGAAUAAGGAUCGGCUAACUCCGUGCCAGCAGCCGCGGUAAUACGGAGGAUCCAAGCGUUAUCCGGAUUUAUUGGGUUUAAAUGGUGCGUAGGCGGAUUGAUAAGUUAGAGGUGAAAUGUCCGAGCUUAACUCGGGAACUGCCUCUAAUACUGUUGAACUAGAGAGUAGAUGCGGUAGGCGGAAUGUAUGGUGUAGCGGUGAAAUGCUUAGAGAUCAUACAGAACACCGAUUGCGAAGGCAGCUUACCAAUCUAUAUCUGACGUUGAGGCACGAAAGCGUGGGGAGCAAACAGGAUUAGAUACCCUUGUAGUC
rnacentral:rRNA from 1 species